CACAGUUGCUGUUCUCGGCGACUCCCAGACUAAGCACCUGUACCACCACUUUGAUUUCAGGUCCCGCUCGACACCAACGAUGUUCGUGUCCCGCAGCGGAGGACGUAUCCUGGACUUCAUCGAGGAGGUGGACCUACUACCGGCCAGCGUUCGUGUCGUUGUCCUACACUGUGGGACUAACGACAUGCCGUUCGUUGAGCCCAAGUUGGCCAUCUCGCACUACCAGACACUUCUCGAAAGGAUCCGUGCCCGUGGAGGCAUUGAAAUGGCGGCGUAGGGAGUUUCAGUGUAACCCACGGGCACACGCCUUCAACCGCCAGCUGGUCCAGCUAUGCAGGAGGUCCCGGGACCUUUUCUACCUCGACCAUGGCUUCUACCGACGACGUCCAACCCAGGUGCUUGCGGCGGAUGGCCUUCACCCAAACUUCGAAGGAGUGCGGAUGAUGAGCCGCCACCUCCAGGACCUGAUCCCACACCUGCUUCGACAACUUCCACCACGCAGAGCUGACGCCCCGGUCAUCCCGGAUCCAGUGUGGCCCACCCCACAAGAGGCAGCCAUGCUGCGACGAAGACACUCCGAACGGACAUCGAGGGCACGUAAACAGGACUGACUAACCGCCGCCAGAUCAAGGUCCCCACUGACCCACAAGGACGAUGACCCCACUCCUGGACCUGACACAGAAACGCUCUGGAAUUUCCCCAAUUGACA